GACGGAGGAUGCAAGUGUUAUCCGGAAUCACUGGGCGUAAAGCGUCUGUAGGUGGUCCAAUAAGUCAACUGUUAAAUCUUGAGGCUUAACCUCAAAAUCGCAGUCGAAACUGUUAGACUAGAGUAUAGUAGGGGUGAAGGGAAUUUCCAGUGGAGCGGUGAAAUGCGUAGAUAUUGGAAGGAACACCGAUGGCGAAGGCACUUUACUGGGCUAUUACUGACACUAAGAGACGAAAGCUAGGGGAGCAAAUAGG
rnacentral:rRNA from 1 species